rnacentral:lncRNA from 1 species
AUGAAGGAACAAGCGUCUGUCCCCUUCCGUGAGCAACAGUACAAGCCCUCACCGUUACAGUCUGGUGGGAAGAUUCGCCUAUCUUCUGUUUUCUUUGUGGCGGAUUCUUUUCAGAGGAAAAGGUGGAAAGAGGAGGGGUCAGGUAAACCCACAGCUCCCAGAGCAGCAGGAGUCCAACAGCCUCAGAGAUCGGGAAAGAGAGGACCGAGCCUUCCUCAAGCCCUCCUCUUACCCAGCUUCCUUCUGCCUUUCAAGUGAAAUUCCAUCCCUAGUGUAAGCAGGGCCCCAGGAGUAAGAGGAAGACCACUACCAAGACCGAAUUCUUGGCUUGGCCGCUGUCACCCCUGCCCUUUGUUGUAAGGAGAAAGAAUACAGUGUGCUGUAUAGAUCCCUCUUCCCAAAGCACAUGUCGUUUGGAUCUCUCUGCUAGAGAGAGCUAAGAAAGAAGGAGGUGACUCAGAACUUGCUUCUCAGAACCUCGAGUGGGAACCCAGCUGGGCUGCAGGAAGUGUGGGGUCGGAGUGAAAGAACCCCCACAUUCCUCCCUUUUAGCUCCCAGCAGCCUCCUGCCUACUGCUAGUAGACUAGUCCCCAGUUUGUUCACUUCCUCUGCUUCUGCUGACAUCAGUGCAGAUCUUGUCACAGAAAGGUCCCUGCGUAGAUAAGACUGACUUCUUGCUAUUACUGCCUUCACAGACUUGAUAAUGUAGUGGCGGUUUAGAAGGAGAGAUAAAAUCUUCAGGGCAUUAAACAUGUCCAUGAGGCCAGUCGGUGAUGGCACACUCCUUUAAUCCCAGCAGAGGCAGGAGUAUCUCUGUCAGUUCAAGGCAAGUCUGGUCCACAGAGUGAGUUCCAGGACAACUACAGCUGUUUCGAAAAGAAACCCUGUCUGGAAAAAACAAAACAAAAUCAUGCCCUGAAUAACAAUACAACAUACAGUAGAUUCCACUGCUGGUUUUGGUCCCAAUAAUUUCUCUCCUGGAUGUUUUUCUUCUGAAAAAAAAAAAAAAAGAAAGAAAAAUGUCUCAAAGUCAUCAAAAUGGCUCCAAGCCUGAGGAAUACAGUUGGUCCCCCAAACCUGAAGGGACCAGCUUCCCUUUUGGCAGCCAUAACAGCUGAAAACGUGCUUCUAUGACCUUGUCCUAGACACUAGAAAGUCAGAUGCCUGCCUCGUGACAAGUAACCAAUCAGAAGUUACCUGGUGGUGCUAUGCUUUACGACCCUGGGUGUGCUUUACGGACAAGCGCACAGCAAUGACACACAGAGUAUGGCAACCAUCCUGGGAGGGCCUAUGGACCAUAACAACCAGGUGACCAAUCAACACAGGGCAAGUCCUCCAAGCCUGGAGGCACACCAAUCGUGAGCCUGUGCGUACCCCAGAACACUCCCCUUACGCUGUCCUAUAAGAUCUCUCGGGAGGCCCUAGGAGCCGUCUUUUGCGAGCCAUCCGCCAUGGCGGAUGGGUGAAAGACCCGAGCUAACAUGGGGUUAGCUCGUUAAAUUACAAUAAAGCCUCGUGCAAUUUGCAUCAAGCUCUUGGAUCUGCCUGAUGAUUGGGGUGACCGCAGUCGUGGCCUGGGACCUCGGAUACCUGAGUUUUUCAAGGGUCAAACAAACCCACAUGGUGGAAGAGAAGAACGGACUCCCACUGACCUCCCCAUCCAUGUUGUGGCAGACCCACAGCCAUACAUAAAAUUAAAAUGUAACAAAAAUUUUAAAUAAAUAAACUGGUCUAACUACUUAGCCCAGACUAGUGCCAAACCUGCUCUUUCUGCCUUUGCCUCUUGUGCUAGGAUUAUGAACCAUCAGCUUCCUCCCUGGCUGGAUUAUUGGCCAGCCUCUAGCUGCCAUUGUCGUUGCUUCUCUCUCCUUUCCUGCCCUAACUCCUGGUUUCAGGUAGUUGGGUACCCAGAUGUGUAUCCAACAGG